rnacentral:rRNA from 1 species
UACGGAGGGUGCAAGCGUUAUCCGGAUUUAUUGGGUUUUAAAAGGGUACGUAGGCGGUGGAGUAAGUCAGUGGUGAAAGCCAACAGCUCAACUGUUGAACUGCCAUUGAUACUGCUUCACUUGAGUGCAGUUGAGGUGGGUGGAAUUCCAUGUGUAACGGUGAAAUGCUUAGAUAUAUGGAGGAACACCGAUAACGAAGGUAACUCACUAAACUGUAACUGACGCUGAGGUACGAAAGCGUGGGGAGCAAACGGG